rnacentral:rRNA from 1 species
AUUGAACGCUGGCGGCAGGCCUAACACAUGCAAGUCGAGCGAGCGGCGGACGGGUGAGUAAUGCCUGGGAAUUGCCCAGUCGAGGGGGAUAACAGUUGGAAACGACUGCUAAUACCGCAUACGAGUGGAGUGCCCCGGUGGGAUUGGCUCGUUGGUGAGGUAAUGGCUCACCAAGGCGACGAUCCCUAGCUGGUCUGAGGGGAUGAUCCGCCACACUGGAACGGAGACACGGUCCAGUCUCCUACGGGAGGCAGCUGUGGGGAAUAUUGCACAAUGGGGGAAACCCUGAUGCAGCCAGGCCGCGUGUGUGAAGAAGUCCUUCGGGUUGUACAGCACUUUCAGCGAGGAGGCGUUACUCGCAGAAGAAGCACCGGCUAACUCCGUGCCAGCAGCCGCGGUAAUUC